rnacentral:rRNA from 1 species
GAUGAACGCUGGCGGUAUGCUUAACACAUGCAAGUCGAACGGACUCUUCGGAGUUAGUGGCGGACGGGUGAGUAACGCGUGAGAAUCUGGCUUUGGGUUCGGGACAACCACUGGAAACGGUGGCUAAUACCGGAUGUGCCGAGAGGUAAAAGAGAAAUUGCCUGAAGAUGAGCUCGCGUCUGAUUAGCUAGUUGGUGAGGUAAAGGCUCACCAAGGCAGCGAUCAGUAGCUGGUCUGAGAGGAUGACCAGCCACACUGGGACUGAGACACGGCCCAGACUCCUACGGGAGGCAGCAGUGGGGAAUUUUCCGCAAUGGGCGAAAGCCCGACGGAGCAAUACCGCGUGAGGGAAGAAGGCUCUUGGGUUGUAAACCUCUUUUCUUAGGGAAGAACAAAAUGACGGUACCUAAGGAAUCAGCAUCGGCUAACUCCGU